rnacentral:misc_RNA from 1 species
AGGUUACAGCGCUCGAUUUCUUAGCCGACGAUUCCUCAUCAUCCACGAUCUCCCCUUCUUCCAGCUCAUCAUCGUUAACGUCAUCUUGUGCCCCAGGGUUAGGAUUAAGGUUUGGAUUCAGUGUUUCUCCUGUAGUUGAUUUCGAUGGCUCUUCCGCCUCCAUUUUUGCGUUAAUUUUCUCUGCUGCAGCUGCUUCUCCUUACUCUUGGUAUGUUAUGGUAG